rnacentral:tRNA from 2 species
GCCAGCGUAGCUCAAUUGGCAGAGCAACUGAUUUGUAAUCAGUAGGUCGUCGGUUCGAGUCCGACCGCUGGCUCCA